GAUGAACGCUGGCGGCGUGCCUAAUACAUGCAAGUCGAGCGAAUGGAUUAAGAGCUUGCUCUUAUGAAGUUAGCGGCGGACGGGUGAGUAACACGUGGGUAACCUGCCCAUAAGACUGGGAUAACUCCGGGAAACCGGGGCUAACACCGGAUAACAUUUUGAACCACAUGGUUCGAAAUGGAAAGGCGGCUUCGGCUGUCACUUAUGGAUGGACCCGCGUCGCAUUAGCUAGUUGGUGAGGUAACGGCUCACCAAGGCAACGAUGCGUAGCCGACCUGAGAGGGUGAUCGGCCACACUGGGACUGAGACACGGCCCAGACUCCUACGGGAGGCAGCAGUAGGGAAUCUUCCGCAAUGGACGAAAGUCUGACGGAGCAACGCCGCGUGAGUGAUGAAGGCUUUCGGGUCGUAAAACUCUGUUGUUAGGGAAGAACAAGUGCUAGUUGAAUAAGCUGGCACCUUGACGGUACCUAACCAGAAAGCCACGGCUAACUACGUGCCAGCCGCCGCCGUAA
rnacentral:rRNA from 1 species